UACAGAGGGGGCAAGCGUUGUUCGGAAUUACUGGGCGUAAAGGGCGCGUAGGCGGCCUUCUAAGUCGAACGUGAAAUCCCCGGGCUCAACCCGGGAACUGCGUCCGAUACUGGAAGGCUUGAAUCCGGGAGAGGGAUGUGGAAUUCCAGGUGUAGCGGUGAAAUGCGUAGAUAUCGGGAGGAACACCAGUGGCGAAGGCGGUUGCCUGGAGCUUUGCUGACGCUGAGGCGCGAAAGCGUGGGGAGCGAUCCGG
rnacentral:rRNA from 1 species